rnacentral:tRNA from 1 species
GGGGAUAUAACUCAAUUGGUAGAGUGCAUGCUUUGCAAGCAUGAAGUUAUCGGUUCGAGUCCGAUUAUCUCCA